rnacentral:lncRNA from 1 species
AUAAUCAUGCCAUUUGGUCAAUUCUUUUUAGCAAAAAGACUUUUGGAAAGUCAAACUAUGGAGGAGGAGGCAAAUCAAAGGGAUAACAUAUUUCAUACAAGGUGUUUGAUCCAAGGAAAUGUAUGCUUAAUGAUUAUUGAUAGUGGUAGUUGUGCCAAUAUAGUUAGUCCAAGAGUAGUCUCAAAGCUAAAUCUUGUGACUAGACCACAUCCUACUCCUUACCGGCUUGAAUGGUUAAGUGAAGUUGGGGAAAUAACUAUCAAUGAACAAGUUGAGGUCCCAUUUUCAAUAGGGAAGUAUGAAGAUGUGGUUCUCUGCGAUGUGGUUCACAUGGAGGUCUGUCAUAUAAUUUUGGGUCGUCCAUGACAAUUUGAUAAAAGAACAAUGCAUGAUUGUUUCUCAAACAAGUUCACAUUUUUACACCAGAAUCGAAAGGUAGUGUUGUCUCCCUUAUCUCGAGUGCAAGUGAGUGAAGACCAGAAGACUUUGAGAAAAAAAAUUGAGGAGGAGAAAAUGAAAAGGGUGUGUGUAAAUAAGAAUGAAAAAGAGAUUGAAGUGAAAAAAAUCAUUGCAAAAAAGAGAAAUAUCAGUGAGGGUGAUGGUGAAAAGGAGAAAUUUUGUUGUAUGAAAGUAAAUGAGGUUACACAGAUCUUGAUUCCAAAACAACCCCUACCACAACAACAUUUUGAAAAUUUUUGCUUUACUAUUAACAAGCCUUUGCCUAGUUUUGUUAUCAAAAUUUUGCAGGAAGUUGGCGAAAUCUCUCUUAAAGAAGAACCACCUGAUC